GACGAACGCUGGCGGCGUGCUUAACACAUGCAAGUCGAACGGAAAGGCCCUGCUUUUGUGGGGUGCUCGAGUGGCGAACGGGUGAGUAACACGUGAGUAACCUGCCCUUGACUUUGGGAUAACUUCAGGAAACUGGGGCUAAUACCGGAUAGGAGCUCCUGCUGCAUGGUGGGGGUUGGAAAGUUUCGGCGGUUGGGGAUGGACUCGCGGCUUAUCAGCUUGUUGGUGGGGUAGUGGCUUACCAAGGCUUUGACGGGUAGCCGGCCUGAGAGGGUGACCGGGCCACAUUGGGCGUGAAUAAGGCCCCGACCCCCCACGGGGGGGAGGGGGGGGGAAUUGUGAAAAAGGGGCGGGAGCCUGGUGGAGAAACCCCGGGGGGGGGAGGGCGGCCUGCGGGUUGGAACCCGCUUUCGCUUGGGGGGGAGGGUGGGGAAGGUUAAGGGGUAAAAAAACCCGGGCUAACUAGGG
rnacentral:rRNA from 1 species